GGGCGGUUAGCUCAGUGGUAGAGCAUUCGCUUCACACGCGAAGGGUCGUAGGUUCAAAUCCUAUACCGCCCA
rfam:Deinococcus sp. TR1 contig_76, whole genome shotgun sequence.